rnacentral:lncRNA from 1 species
ACGUUUCUGCGUUUCAUUAUGACGUCACAAGUUGUACUCAUAUUGAAUUUUCAUGAAAAAAUCAAUGAAAAUGGUUAAAUUUCCAUAGAUUAUUGGACAGGAAACAGAUAGCGCAUACGUCGACAACAAAGAUCUUUUAAAAUAGUGUUUGCGAAGACAUUUCACAUGUCUCAUUUGAAAAUUAAGUUUGUCGACGCCUGCGCUCUAUGUGUCCUGGUCCUUGAUUUGGUUGAAAUCCAGCUGAUUUUAUCACAUUUCACCAAAAUCCCUUAUCUUGACCUUUUUGGGAUGUAAAAAUCAACGUGUUAGAAUUAAAAUUUGACAAAAAUAGUCCUGUUUAACUUUCUCACAUGUCUUUAAGGCAACUUAAAAAGAUUAUUGUCUUAUAACUAUGAACUUUAUAAUUUGGGCCAAAUAUGACCCUUUCCGAACUUACUCCUUUCUA